rnacentral:rRNA from 1 species
CAAUAGCGUAUAUUAAAGUUGUUGCAGUUAAAAAGCUCGUAGUUGGAUUUCUGGUAGGAGUGACCGUUCCGAACUUGAUUGUUCGUGUAUUGUGUUUUCUCCAGCCAACCUUGUGGAGAACUUUUCUUGCAUUAAUUUGUAGGGAUUGGGACCCGCAUCGUUUACUGUGAAAAAAUUAGAGUGUUUAAAGCAGGCAAUCGCUUGAAUACAUUAGCAUGGAAUAAUAAGAUAGGACUUUGGUACUAUUUUGUUGGUUUGCAUACCAAAUUAAUGAUCAACAGGAACAGUUUGAGGAUAUUCGUAUGAACAUGUCAGAGGUGAAAUUCUUGGAUUUUGAUCAGACGAACUACUGCGAAAGCAUUUAUCAAGGAUGUUUUCAUUAA